ACUUGAGAAAGAUGACCUCUUCCUAUAUAAGAUAGAUUCCUCUUUGACUCCCACCAAUAUGAGACUAAUGAUGUCUUUUCUUCUAUAAUACAACAAAAGCUAAUCUAGAUCUUUUAUAUUCUUACUGAUCAACUUCAUUUCAUUCCUAGCUUCCAAUUUCAUAAAUAAAAUAUUCAACAAGGAUACAUGUCAUCUUAUGA
rnacentral:lncRNA from 1 species